rnacentral:rRNA from 1 species
GGCAGCAGUGGGGAAUUUUGGACAAUGGGCGAAAGCCUGAUCCAGCAAUGCCGCGUGCAGGAUGAAGGCCUUCGGGUUGUAAACUGNUUUUGUACGGAACGAAAAAGCUCCUUCUAAUACAGGGGGCCCAUGACGGUACCGUAAGAAUAAGCACCGGCUAACUACGUGCCAGCAGCCGCGGUAAUACGUAGGGUGCGAGCGUUAAUCGGAAUUACUGGGCGUAAAGCGUGCGCAGGCGGUUAUGUAAGACAGAUGUGAAAUCCCCGGGCUCAACCUGGGAACUGCAUUUGUGACUGCAUGGCUAGAGUACGGUAGAGGGGGAUGGAAUUCCGCGUGUAGCAGUGAAAUGCGUAGAUAUGCGGAGGAACACCGAUGGCGAAGGCAAUCCCCUGGACCUGUACUGACGCUCAUGCACGAAAGCGUGGGGAGCAAACAGGAUUAGAUACCCUGGUAGUCCACGCCCUAAACGAUGUCAACAGGUUGUUGGGAAUUAGUUUUCUCAGUAACGAAGCUAACGCGUGAA